rnacentral:rRNA from 1 species
AGUGGCGGACGGGUGAGUAACGCGUGAGCAACCUACCUUGCAAUGGGGGACAACAGUUGGAAACGACUGCUAAUACCGCAUAAGACCACAUUGCCACAUGGCAAAGAGGUAAAAGGAGAAAUCCGAUGCAAGAUGGGCUCGCGUCCCAUUAGAUAGUUGGUGAGGUAACGGCUCACCAAGUCAACGAUGGGUAGCCGACCUGAGAGGGUGAUCGGCCACACUGGAACUGAGAGACGGUCCAGACUCCUACGGGAGGCAGCAGUGGGGAAUAUUGGGCAAUGGGCGAAAGCCUGACCCAGCAACGCCGCGUGAGGGAAGAAGGUCUUCGGAUUGUAAACCUCUGUCCUAUGGGACGAACACAAUGACGGUACCAUAGGAGGAAGCUCCGGCUAACUACGUGCCAGCAGCCGCGGUAAUACGUAGGGAGCAAGCGUUGUCCGGAAUUACUGGGCGUAAAGGGUGCGUAGGUGGCCAUGUAAGUCAGAUGUGAAAUACCCGGGCUUAACCCGGGGGGUGCAUUUGAAACUGUGUGGCUUGAGUGCAGGAGAGGGAAGUGGAAUUCCUAGUGUAGCGGUGAAAUGCGUAGAUAUUAGGAGGAACACCAGUGGCGAAGGCGACUUUCUGGACUGUAACUGACACUGAGGCACGAAAGCGUGGGGAGCAAACAGGAUUAGAUACCCUGGUAGUCCACGCC